CCUACGGGUGGCUGCAGUGGGGUAUAUUGGACAAUGGGGGGAACCCUGAUCCAGCCAUGCCGCGUGUGUGAAGAAGGCCCUCGGGUUGUAAAGCACUUUCAGUGAGGAAGAACGCCUGGUGGUUAAUACCCAUCAGGAAAGACAUCACUCACAGAAGAAGCACCGGCUAACUCCGUGCCAGCAGCCGCGGUAAUACGGAGGGUGCGAGCGUUAAUCGGAAUUACUGGGCGUAAAGCGCGCGUAGGUGGCUUGAUAAGCCGGUUGUGAAAGCCCCGGGCUCAACCUGGGAACGGCAUCCGGAACUGUCAAGCUAGAGUGCAGGAGAGGAAGGUAGAAUUCCCGGUGUAGCGGUGAAAUGCGUAGAGAUCGGGAGGAAUACCAGUGGCGAAGGCGGCCUUCUGGACUGACACUGACACUGAGGUGCGAAAGCGUGGGUAGCAAACAGGAUUAGAUACCCCAGUAGUC
rnacentral:rRNA from 1 species